GACAAACGCUGGCGGCGUGCCUAAGACAUGCAAGUCGGACGCGGGCUUCGGCUCGAGUGGCGGACGGGUGAGGAACGCGUGACUAACCUGCCCUGCGGUGGGGGAUACCGCUCAGAAAUGGGCGCUAAGACCGCAUACGACCAGCGUCUUGGGGGAUGCUGGGGAAAGCCGAAAGGCGCCGGAGGAGGGGGUCGCGUCGGAUUAGCUAGUUGGUGGGGUAAGGGCCUACCAAGGCGGUGAUCCGUAGCUGGUCUGAGAGGACGGCCAGCCACACUGGGACUGAGACACGGCCCAGACUCCUACGGGAGGCAGCAGUUAGGGAAUUUUGACAAUGGGCGCAAGCCUGAUCGAGUGACGCCGCGUGCAGGACGACGCCUUUCGGGUGUAAACUGCUUUUCCCAGGGACGAGCGAGGACGGUACCGUGGGGAAGAAGCAUCGGCUAACUACGUGCCAGCAGCCGCCGCGGUAAC
rnacentral:rRNA from 1 species